GGCCAUAUGCAUCAUCCAGUUGGAGAGGAUACGAGGCUGUCGUUCCUCCGUCUUCCUCUUCCUGUUCUGGGUCCUGGCGGUGGUGUGUUCCCUGGUGCCCCUACGGGCAAAGAUCCAGCUGGUUAUGUACGAGGGUAUCACCACCGAUAUUGUGAGAUACACAGCGUUUUUCUCCUACUUCUCACUCCAACUGGCCCAGCUCUUCCUGUGUUGUUUCGCUGACCAGCCUCCAGAGGGAAAAACCGUCCUCGUCAAAAACCCAUGUCCAGUCAAGGAUGCCUCUUUCCUGUCGAAGAUGCUCUUCUGGUGGUUUACUGGGCUGGUGGUUAAAGGUUAUCGC